UGCGAUAUUGAAAGGUGCGAUAUUGAAAGGUGUGAUAUUGAAAUUACAAUAUUGAAAGGUGCAUAAUUGAAAUUUGUACUUGGGCACAUGAGAUUCGAAUGCCAAGCGGCUCCUUAAAAAUAAGUGCGCCCGACACGUUUUCAAAGCCAAAAAUCUCAACUUGGGAGAGGUUGAUCAACCCAAAUGUCCUAGAUUUUACAUAUUAAACUUGAACUUGAAACACUAGUAAAAAAAUUGACAUGUGCUUCUCUUCAAGUGCGGCUCAUUAGUAAAUUGGCAGCACUUGAGAGCAAAAAAAAAAAAAAUACAAAAAAACAAUUUCACAAGUGCGGGCUCAUUUUAGAAAAUUGGCAGCACUUGAGUUCAAGUGCGGGCUUAUUUCACAAAUGACCCGCACAAAAUAUUUCUAAAAAUAUUUCCCAAUUUUAUUUCAUUUCGCGCUUCCCCACUUCCUCUUCUCUGGUUACUGCUUUUCCCUUUUCUCUCCUCCUUCCCUCUUCUCUUGUUUCUCUGCUCCUCCCCCUCUCUGGUUCUCUGGGCGCGAAACUCAACAACAUCAAUCAGCAUACACCGACACGACCAGUCGCGUCGCCAACGAUGUUCCCCAACCGGCGACUUCUUCCUCUUCUGGCCGCGGCCGCAGCACACAGGCGUCGCUCAUCCUUAUCUCUUUUAGGUUUUUCGAUUGCGUGCUCGAUUUUGCUUCUACCUACUUCCGGAUUGAUUUAAUUCAGGUAUUCAACAAUCCAAGGGAGCAGCCUUUUACCAUUGAGUAGAUAAAUGAAGUUCGAGAAAAGUUGGCAAAUUUCAUUACCAUUUAUUGUCUUUGAUAUUUUGUUGUAAUGAAUCUUAGAUUAUGGAUGCUAGUUUUUCAUAGGAUUGUAAUGUAAUCAAUUUUUAUAUUUACAAUUAUAUACUAU